rnacentral:rRNA from 1 species
UACGGGGGGAGCAAGCGUUGUUCGGAUUUACUGGGCGUAAAGGGCGCGUAGGCGGCCACCGCAAGUCGACUGUGAAAUCUCCGGGCUUAACCCGGAACGGUCAGCCGAUACUGCGGGGCUAGAGUGCAGAAGGGGCAACUGGAAUUCUCGGUGUAGCGGUGAAAUGCGUAGAUAUCGAGAGGAACACCUGCGGCGAAGGCGGCAUCCUGGACUGGUCCUGACACUCAUGAGCGAAAGCGUGGGGAGCGAUCCGG